ACGUGUACUUUAUUUCAUUCGUGUGCACACAAAAUGAAGGACUCCCGGUGGUGAGGGAUCAAGCUGCCUCUGUGUACUUCGGCACCUCUUGUGGAUCUAAAAAGAGUUGCAGUUCUUCCAUAGUGUUAAACUACUAUGUCGUCUCUCUAUGUACGAGUAUUACUGUGUUCAGAGUUGCAUUGUUUUCCUUCAUAAGCGCGCUGCCUCUUCCACCUUUAGUGAUGUAUGUCUGCGUGGCCUUGGACCAGCGAAAGAUUUGUCGAUGCGAGUCUCGGAACUUGUAUUGGGUAACUGUCAGCUUCUUACGAUCCAGAAUGACAGGGAUCCGGGGAAUCUCUUGAGUCAGGCAAGCUUUCACAUACUCGUACAUUCCCCGUCAAAUUUCCGUUCAUAGUUUCUUCCGUCGUCAAAUAUUAUAUGAAACAUCCUUCAGUAUUUACUUUAUUUUCGGUAUACCAUUACGUCCACACCAAUACAGCAUGAGACCACACCUCAUCACCACAUCACCGCAUACCACAACCUUUCCCGCCUUUCUCUUCAGUGACAGCCUCACUCGACACCCUUGACACCAUGCCUUUGUACUCGUCACCUUGCCCACUGACAGAAUCACGUCUCUCGCCAAGCCGCCUACACAUACCAGGAUUGGUGUUCCUAUACGUUCUCCCUCUUUGUCCUCACGCUGUUGCUACACCUAACCUUGUUCGCUCAAGCCGGCGUCACAUUACCUUGCUUAUAUGAACUCAUAAACUUGCAAAAUGUAAACUUAUCUUUCAUGGUGUGACGUAACUCAUGAUUGACAACAACUUAAUAUUUUCUUUCUAACAUUAGCAACUUGUCAUAUUUGUUAUUAACUAAUAAAUAUUUACUAAUAGCUAAUCAUGGAUCCUGGCAUCUGUUUCCUUCAUUUGCAAGUCUCUCUCAACUCGUCGGUGAAUCUGGAGUGUUGGUGACACGCCGAGCGCCAGGCGGCAGUCAACUGCUCUGAACAUCACAGGGAAGGAAAUCUGUGUUAAGAAUGACAGGGAAAGUUUUCUUCCUUCAUCCUUCAGUGAUAAAGAUAAGAUUUCACAAAGUUUCAGCACAAAUGCCACUUUUUUCAACAAGUCCCACACCACUUCUUUUGAUAUUUCCCACAAAAUAACGUAAAAUGUAAUCAAUGUUCAAAUUGGUAGAAAGAAAAUGCAUGAUAUUUAUAUUUUUUAUGCAUAUAAGACACAUGUUGGCUUGCUUUGAUGCUAAACAGAUAACCAGGUGGCGUGUUUGUUCUGCAUGCUUUGAUGCACAGUGUCAUAUUUACACAGUGGCAUCUCAGGCCCUGACCUUCCCUUCCUGUCUCCACGCAGGCAACUCCACCUCAGGCCUACGACUCUCAGCCCGUAGUCUGUUCGUCUAUCAUCUUAGAUUCAAAGGCUCCUCCAUCUGUCUGGCCAGCGCUGCAGAACGGACAGAAGCUCGAGAGUGAGGCGCCAGGACAGGAAGUUUCGCUCAGAGGAGCAGAGCGUGGCAGUGAUGAGGUAACUGUGCGGGCGUGUCGUCUCUGUUCUCUUCCUGACCUCUCUCUCUCUCUGGCGACGGCCAUACACGG